GGGAAUAACACUUGAAAUGUAUAUAAGAAAUACUCAAGUUAAUAAAAAAAAAAAAAGUCCUGGAUUUGUGCCUGAGAAGUAUCUUGUCAGGCUGAUGGCUUUAGUACCCUUCAAGGAGACUGCUUACCUUGUAGUCCCUGAAAACAUGGCCAGUGACACCCUACUCUUCAGGUGAAGUGCCAGUUCCUGUCUCUUGAGUAUUGCAGCGAGUGAGGACAUGGCCAGGUCUGUUACACAUGAGCACAGGGCCAGCUCUCCUGCCUACCACAGAUAUCAUGAUGAAUAAGGGGAGAGGGGUUUCUCCAUCAUCCUCACCACUGCCUAGCAGACAAGAGACAGAACCCUUGGGGCCUUUUCAUUCACAGCCCAUUUAUCCAGGGCUAGAUCUAUUGUGCUGCCCAAGCAAGGUUAAGGACCUGAACUCCUGAGUGUUCUAGCAGGUGGGUGACAGGGGCUGCUCUCCUGUUCUAGUCACACCAGAGUCAAGUGUCAUGCAUGCCAUAGGUGGUGAGGUACAAAGGCAGAGGAGGGUGUCUUUUUCUUGUCCACAUCACUGAAUGGGCAACAGGUGGCAGUGCCAGGCAAUGUUGGGCAGUGUCUGACAUGCCUCAGGGGAGUUUUACUGGAGAGCAUCCUUAUGUUCUCUCUUUUUUAGCAUGAAAAACUCCAGACCAAGUCUGAAAUACAGUGUCCUUGUUUUGGAGUCAGGUAGCCAACUGUUGGUCCUGGUGUUUGGAAUCUGGUGACUAAGAUGAACCAGCUACACUGACCACUUUUUCUGUGUUGAGGAGCAGCUUUCUUGUGCAAGACAACUCACACGUGCACAGAAAAGAGCUGACUAAAGACUUGCCCCUCUUUCAGGGCACUGGUAAUUGUGGAUUGCUCAUAUCACUCAUAACAAACAAAACCAGUAUCAGUUUUUUUCAGCCCCACUCUAUAAAUCUGACCUUUGUCCCUCCUAUAUGGUGAGCUCUGGUUCCCAGUUAUUACUAUUUGGUUGCUGUCUUGUUUUAGACAAGACAGUCAAGCUCAAAAAUAUAUCUCCACCUUUCUCCAUACCUAUUUCUAAACAUAUUAGGUACCAACACUUACCAGGACCAUGAGACCCGUAAAAGUGUUUGCCGAGCUCAUGGUAGAACUGAUGGGGGCUAUUAGGAAAUUUUGCUGUUGUUGGGUGUUUGGCCUCAGAUCUUGGAAAAGAAUCUAAAAAGGGUUAAAAGAUUUGAGGAUAGAAAUAGGUCCUGAUUCCUGGAGACUGCUUAAAAGUUUUAAAAUAAGCAUGACUGUGUGAGAGAAACGCUACUAAAGAUAAGAGAGACCCCAGAGGGGAAGCCUGAAACACCAGGAGAGGAACAGGGAAGAAUGAUGCCUGGUCCUGUGUCAGGGAGAUUACAGAGAAGGUCCAUGCUCCAUGCUGUGUUGCCCUCCUACUGGGCAACAGAGGUGAAAGUACAAAGCCCAAAUAAUCAGGCAGUUAUCCUGGACUAGUGCCAUAUCCAGUACUGUUAACUUCAACCCUGCCAGCCUGCUGCCCUACACUAAGCCAACAGAGCCUCUUUCAGAGAACAGAGGAGUUGUGGUCAUCAAAGUCCUUCAACAUAGACAGGAGAACAAAAGGUGACUUUGUGAUGCUGGAGUUUAUGCAGAAAGAUGUCUAGCCAUGAAACAACACGAGAGCAAGGUGCAUUCUCGGUUCUUUCCCAGGCCACAUCACUUAAGUUCCAGCUGCUGGACCUUGGAGAUAAGCACAUCCAGAUGGACACUAGGAGUUCAGCUUCAGCUUGUUUGGGAGCAACAGGCUUCUCAGUGAAUAUCUCUUUGGUGGCUCCAGGUGGAAAAGUCAGACCCCUUUAUUUGUACCUCAUGCAACAUAAGAUCUGAAGAGGUAGAAUGCUUCCUCCCUAGGUAUAUGCACACUGGUACAAGACUGACAUGCUGUCAUGUUUGUCAAGGAAAAGGUGUGUGUGUGCCUCUGCCUGUUUAAGAGGACAAUGCUUCUGGUAGCUUUUCCUAGGGACCCUCUAACUUGUUGGCUUGGCAUGAUUUGAAUUCUCCCAGGUCCUCAAUCUACGAAGUGUUGAUAUAAGCCACUGGUCAGGGGAUUGCCUAUUGCUCCCUCCAUGAUGUUAAUACCAAGGCUUUUUAAAAAAGUCUAAGCCAUAAGACCCUGUCUUUUAAAGCCUUUUGCUGGGUGACCUAGUCUUUUCCCACCAGAUGUUCUAAAUCCCAAGACAACAACUCAGGUAGAGCAGGUGCUGAUGGGAUAUUCCAAGUAUGAGAUGGAUGUGAGACUGGAUCCAGAGAUCUACUGUGCCUGUCACCUCGAAACAGUUCCAUGAUUCACAGAUACCUGGUGUGGUUCACCCCAAUAGGGCUGCACUCACUCAGAAGGCCAUCUUACAGGGGCUUUGUUCUAAUCUAUUUUUAAACAGAGUCUGAGUGAAGAGUUUACCCUCUUUGAAGACUUAGGCCUGUAGCUAUUCUAUCCACAUGUCUGCAAGGGCUCAGUGGAUUGGGCUCUACCUGCUAAGGCAUCCAUAGGGUCAGUAACCAUAUGGACUGCUUGGGCUCUGUCUUGUUUUGCUAGAUUAUUUGCAAUACCUCUCCAUCUGUCUCUGUAUAUAGAGAAGUAGGAAGCCAUGAUUUGCUUUGUAUUCUGGUCUUCACCCUGGCUUGGAUCUUUAAUCUAAAGCAACCAUUCCAAGUGGUAACUCCUAGUGAAAUCUAGGGGGUCAUGAAAGUUGGAGAAGGGAUAGGACACAGAUUAGUGGGUGAGAAUGUAUUCUCAGAACCCAAGAGGGCAUUUCAUAACCCAAGACCGAUUCCUACCAUAGUGCCUAGCUCUGGUUUAGCUUUCUGUCUGGAUACCAGAUGCUGUACAAGCAGGAACUUUGUGCCCUUUCUGAGGUAAGACCCACCUUCCUUGUGGGGAGCCUUCUUUUAUGAAUGCCUGACUGUCCGGUAGAGUCAAGUGAGACCGCGGUCUACUAGCAGAUUUCCUGAUUUGCUGAUACAUGGAAGGUUAUGAGGGACACACUUGAAGCUCAUGUUGAGGGGAUCAAUGUUUGUUAAUGUUAGAGGAAGGAACGGGAAGGAAUAGGUGAGCCUCGAGAUGCUAAGUAAUAUUGAAUAUAUAUAAGGCAUUGUCUCUGUGGGCUUGGAACUUUGUUCCCAUGAUUCCAUAAACUAUUGUCAAGUCCAGGAGAACCUGGAGACUCGUGUAGUAUGGACUGAACAGCCCUAACCAUUUUGUUCUUUGUUUAAUUUCUUUUAUUUAGUAAGCAUUCUAUUCAUUCACAUGUCAAAUGCUAUCUCACAUCCAGGUUACCCUUCCAUAAGCCCCAUCCCACAUCUGCCCUCACAGCCCUCUACUAUAUGUAGGUGCUCGCCCACCUCCUCACCCCCUCCCACUUCUCCAGUUUACCCCUGUGCUGGGGGAAUCAAACCUCUACAGGACCAAGGGGCUACCCUCCCAUUGCUGUCAGGCAAGUCUGUUCUCUGAUAAAUAGAUAUUUGUAGCCAUGGAUCCGUCCCCGUACACACUGUGUUCGGUGAUUAAGACUCUGGGGCUUCUGGGUUGUUAGUUAGGCCAAUGUUUUUCUUCUUAUUGGGUUACAAUAACCCUCUCCUUCUGCAGUCCCUGCGACAGCUGCUCCACCAGGGUCCCUGAGUUCAGUCUGAUGGUUAGCUCCAAGCAUCCACAUCUGCAUUGCUCAGUUGCUAACCGAGCCUCCCAAGAAUCAGUCAAACCAGGUUCCUGUUAGCAAGCGCCUCAUGACAAAGACAACAGUUUCAGGUUUGGUGUCUGCACACAGUGUGGAUUCCCAAGUAGGAAAGUUCCUUGAGGACCCUUCCUUCAGUCUCUGCUCCAUAUUUUGUCCUUGUUCUUCUUGUGGACAGGAACAUUUCUGGGUAAAAUACUUUUGAGAUGGGCAGGCUCAGCCCUCCAUUGGGGACUGUGCCUAUAUACUGGAGGUGGUCUCUUCAGGAUCUAUGUCCCUGUUCUCUGCAUAUUUAGGCAAAGCCAUUCUCAGUGGUCCUAGGAGCCUCUCAUUUCCUGGUCUGUGGGACCCUCUGGUGGCCAUGUCCAGUUUGUAAUCCCUGUUACAUAUUUUUAUCCAUUUCCUAAACCUCACUUCCUGUUUACCAUCUCCUCCACUAUCUUAUAUUGCCCCCUUAUUUCCUCCUCCUCCUGUCUCCCUCCCUGGUCCCCUUAUUCCUCCACCUCCUGCCAUAAUCCUGUAACCUCUUCAAUGCAGAACUGAAGCAUCCACACCCUGGUCUUCCUUCCUCCUUAGCUCCAUAUGGUCUGUGGAUUUUAUCAUGGGUAUUGUGAGCUUUUUGGAUAAUAUCCUCUUUUCAGUGAGUACAAAGUGUGUGGGUUUUUUGUGACUGGGUUACCUCACUCAGCAUGAUAUUUUCUAGCUCCAUCCAUUUGCCUGAGAUUUUAUGAAGUCAUUGUAUUUAAUACCUGACUAGUAUUCUACUGUGUAAAUGGACCACAUUUUCUGAUCCAUUCUGCUACUGAGGGACUUUUGGUUUGUUUCCAGCUUGGCUGUUACAAAUAAGGGAUUUAUCAAUAUAGUGGAACAUGUGUCCUUGCUAUAUGUAGGGGACUUUUGUGUAUGUGCCCAGUAGUGGUAACCUUUGUCUCUGAGAGUUAUAUUCUGUCUUUCCAGUAAUCCCCUCUCCCAACAUAGAAGGCUGCUGGACAUUUUGCCAGACAGACACACAUACUCUGCUCUCCUCUCUAGGGACAGUUAGCUCUCAUUGUCUUUCAACUCUCAUCACAGGCACCGAUGGUCACAUUUCAAGCUUUAUUUCCUGUCCCAGUCCAGGAGGAUUUGGAUCUUUCUUGCAUGAACUCUGUUCUCUCCUCAAUUAACCAUGUCCUGUUUCUUCAGCCAGCUGAGAAGAUGCCAGAGCCACUACAUGUACCCUAGCCUCAGCAGACAGGCCUUGCCAUAGUUUCAGAGUCCUCUGCCUAUCACAAAGUCACUUGUUGUUGUUGUUGUUGUCAUUGUUGUUGUUGAGAAAUAUCCCUAGCUCACCUGUUGUUGUCCUCCCUCAGUCACCUUCUCUUCACUGUGACCAAAAUGGCAGGAGGAAAGUAAACACUCUGCUGAGCCAUCUGUGUCUUUCCACCAAGUUUACCCUUCUAUUCCGAAUGGGCCCUGUUCACAGGGGCUGAGGUCUGCAGUUGCCAUUCUUUACUGUUGUGUGUCUACUUUCUCAGUUCUAACAAGGCUACGUAAAGUACACUGGGGUGGAGUAGGUAAGGCAGUAACCUGAGACGUGGAGCUGAGAUACUGUGGCCUCAGCUCAUGCUCCAUAAAGGAUGCAGCCACUUGGCCCCAUGGAGAACAGGAGCACUAGAUGUUGCCUUGUCCAGCAACCCCUCAAGCCUAUUUCUGCUGGAGUAAGGGAGGCCCCAGCCUGCCUAGGGGGGAUGUGGUUCAAAAUGAACAUCAUUUAUAUUAUGGUUCCAUAAAGAGUCGGUUCAUAUAUUCAAAUGUUGGGAAAUGAGUGGUCAGAAUUGUCAGCUCAAGUUACUCAAUACAUUUUGAGUCCCUUAAACUUAGGCAAGGAAAAUCAGACCUGUAUAUUCCCUGAGGUCUUCAGGGGUCCCAGUGUCUGUCUAAUGGAAAACAUUCUACAGGAACAUGGAAGGAUUUCUAAAGCAGGUUAUGUAUAUUAGGAGGGUUAAUUUAGGAAUAUCUGAAUACAGAGGGCACUUAGCUCCUAAAAUUGGGAGUAAGUCUUUUACUAUGUGGCAGUUCUCCAUAGGUAUUUUCCCAUCUCCUUGGUCGAUGCCUCCAUUGGUGAGACAAACUCAGCAACAAUCCAAGAGUCACCACUGGACCUCUGGAUGAGCCCAGCUGUUUGUGAGAAGAGCUUCAGAACAUACAAUAUUGACACCAACUGCCAUCUCAUCUGUACAUUGGCAUUUCUCUCCAAAUGCCUUUUUAUUGUACAAUGAGCAUCUUUCUCCAACAGGGAGCCUACCUCCCUGUACAUAUGGAAUCUGUUGUCAACUGCCAUCUUUUUUGAACAUAGACUGUCUAUCUGCAAUUAUGUUCUUCCCCAAAUGGAGCGCAUCUCUUGCAACCUGCCUUCCUCCAGGGACAGAGAAUAACUCUGAGCAACUGAAUCCCCUGACUGCCUCUAAAAUUCUUAAGUGGAAGAAAAAUAGUCUUGGGGCCCAUAACCAAUAUCUCAAAAUUGACAUCUCUCUAAACCAAUCAGAUGAACUGUGAGAACAGUAGAAGAUAGGAAAAUUCGGUCUGAUUAAAUCAGGGUAGAAUUAUCCCCAGUUUCUUAUAAAGUUAGGUAGGGAUAUGUCAGGUAGUGUCUUGGAGAUAUUUGUGUAGAGAUAGGAGUAUCUGAUAGAAUCUGUACGUUAUGUCCAGUUCUGAGGAACCCUGUCUGACAAACGAGCAAAGUUCAAUGAUGAGAACAUAUAUAAUUGAAAAAUUAAUAGAUCAGGAAGAAGGCAUGGGAAGCAAGGGUUAAAUAGUGUAGUGUCAGUAGUCAUCCAAGAAACCUAGCCUUAUGGCCAGCACCACAGGAAAAAACAACUCAGGAGUCAGUAUGUGAUACUUUUUCCAAUUGGCCAGGGUGCAUUUGAGAUCAUGAAUCCUGCCUGCCACAUAAAAACACAGGCGUUAGUGAUUAUAAAACUGUAGAGGUCAUCAAAUAUCUCAUUGUAAGGAUCCAGUCACAAAUAUAAACAAUGAAAACACUAUUCCAUUCUAAUAUCAAUAGCCUCUAUCAGGUUCUAGGAACGUCGAUUCAGAUCCAUCUACUUUCUGAGAAUGCUCCAGAAGAAAACGUCCUUGACCAAAGAGUGGAGGGGGGCAUGUUGCAGAAGGAAGAUCAUAGAAAAUACUUGGACACUUAUGGGCAUCAAUAAAAUACUGCCACAAAAAUUGAACUUGUCCAUCCAGACAUAAAAUUCCAGAAUAUCCACAAAGAUGCAGUGGAUAAUGUAAAAUUCAUAGACCUCACCAGCCCAUCAAUGCAGACACAGCCCCUCACUGAAAUGGCAGCAUGGGACCAAGGAUUUUAUGCUCCAGAGCUCACACUAGGAGAGCCACAGGAUGGCAUGGAGGCAGAUGGGUAGAUUGUGGGCAAGCUACUCUAUUAUAUCACCACAGGGUCACAUUUCUUUAGUGGAAGGACCACGAAAGAGAUCAGAAAUAGAUUGUCACAGGGACCUAUGACAUUGUAACUCACUUCUGGCAACCGGAAACCUGAUGCACCAAAUUCUUACAGUUUACCCAGAUAAGGCCCUCCAUUGAGAACAUUGAGAGACAUUUUUGUGUAAUGAGAGGAAAUGUGAAGUACUUAGCUCGACUGUCACCUAUCCAGAUUCUCAAACUGUAGACAUGCUCUGAGGUAUGGAAUUUUAUAGUUGCAGGAAAUUAAAUCCUUGAACAAGUAAAACUACCGUAAAAUGAUGGGGGACAUAUUUAAAUUUAAAAGAACAGGAACAGAGGGCACUUGAGCAUGGAUCUAAGACUUUUGUCAUUACCGGGCUUACAUGCCCUAUGCCACCCAAAUCAUGAGCACAUCCCUUUAUUCUCUUCCUCCACCAAAGAGAAAGGGGAGUAACCCCAACUUUAGCCUCAUUCAUAUCCAGCCCUAGGAGAGCAUGGGCCUCCUGCCCUGACACAAUAAGGCCAGUAGUGGCAAGAAGUGCUUCCAUGCCUGCCACUACAUUACAGUGUCCCAAGAAGAGGAGCACAGAGACUGCCUGUGCCCUCCCUCCAUUACUGGAGAUUUGUCUACCCACUGAGCCCACAUCAGCAUACCAGAAGAGCAAAUGCCCCUGCAAUCUAAGUAAUUCUUAGACAAGGAGCUCUAAGUAAAGCCUCAGAGGAUUGUGUGCUUCAAGGGACUAGACAAGAAUAUCAGGGGUUUCCUGUCAAGAAUCUGUUGCCUCAAGGAGUCUCUGAGACAAAAUCCUACUACAUAUCUCUCAAGAAUAUGGGUCCACUGACAAGGCAGGACACAGAACCCAUGAAUUUCUAGGCAAGUACGGGAUGGUGUAUCACUUCUUGACCUUCUUCACUAUACCAUGCUACAGUCAUUAGCCUCUUCUAGGACCUACUAAAAUCAAAGGGGGUCAAUCUAGAUACUGAGUGUGCUCCAGCAGGGGACUUCUUGAACUAAUAAUGGAGGAGGCCCCAAGCAGGAAGAUGGGGUAAAAAUAUUUGUGCAAAUAGUGACAGCCAUAAUGUAUUGAAACACCCUUGACUUUGUCUAUGCAAACAUAAAACACCAGAAUAUCCUCACCGAGUCAGAGGUUGAUGAGAAAUAGACAGAGAUGACCUGAACCUCAAUGCAGACUUUGCAUCUUCCUGAAAAGGCAGCAUGGGUCCAAGGGAAUUAUGCUGUAGACCUCACACUAGAUGAGCCAUUUGAUGGCAAAAAAGGCAGAUGCGGACAGUUUGGGCAUGCUCUUAUAUUACCUGACCACAUGUUCGCAGGCACUGAGAGUAAACACCAUGGAAGAGACAAAUAUUGUCACAGUGACCUAUGACAUUGCAACUCACUUCUCUUGGCAAAUUGAAAUCUAAAUCCCCAGACACUCACAUUUUCCCCAAAGUUGAGUUCCUCCAUAGAAAACAUGGAGGGACAUUCAUGGGUAACGAAUGUGAAGUUAAUAUGUAGACUGUGACUUCUCCAGAUUCUAACAUUAUGGACAGGCUUUGAAUCAUGGAGUUUCAUGUCAAGUAACUGGAACCCCCCAAAAAAGUAAAUGGAAAAGAUGGGGCCCUAACUACUCUAGAAGAACAGACACAAGAUGUGAGCAUGGAUCUAAGACUUCAUCCAAGCCUGUGGAUCCAGGUGCUCCACCACCCCGACUCCUGCACACCCCUUCAUGUCUUGUCUUCCACCCAACGGAACGGCCUGUGAGCCCAACAGUGUCCUCCUCCUUUACCAGCCUUCAGGAGAGCAUGGACCUGCUGCCCUGACUCUGUCAGGACACAGGAGGGCAAGAAGAGCUCCCAUGCUUUCCAUUGCUCUACACUGUCCCAAGAGGAGGAGCAGAUACUGCCUGUGCCCUGUAUUCUGUAGAUGGGUCUGCCCCUGUGAACACAUGAGCACAUCAGAACAGGAAAUUCCACUGUCGCCUGAGGAAGACUUGGACAAGGAAACCUUCAUCACCCUCUCAGAAAAUUGGGUGUCUCAUCAGAAUGGGGAUAAAGAGAGCUUCCCUGUUAUUUCAAAACUAUCUGAAGACAAUCCACAACCCCCCACCCACCCAUAUCUUCCAAGAACCUAGGUCCUCUAAAUCAGGGAGGACGCAGUAGGAAAUGAAAUGGUAUGCUUGUAUGGGAGUGUUCAUCACAACAUUGACAUUGUACACUACAUCAUCCUAUUACCAUUAACCUCUUCUAGGUUCUAGUAACAUCAAAUCCUUUCCAGCUAGAUACUCAGUAUGUUCCAGAAGGAAACUUUUUGACCUCAGAAUGGAGGAGGGGCUGCUGCAAGAGGAGGAGUCAAAGAAUUCUAUUUGGGCACAUAGUGCCGGACAUAAAGUAUUGCCACUAUCUUGACAUUGUUUAUUGAGACAUUAAACAUCAAUGCAUUUUGCAAAUUGCAGACUGAUAUAUGAAGGUAAUAGUGCUUGCUUACUAGGAUCAAAAUCAAAUAUUCUUAUUAAUAUUCCUCUAUCUUCUCACAUUAAAGCAUUAUAUGUGCACCAAGGUGGCAUUGCCUGAGAAGACGUAAACAAAUACCUGUGUAACCCAGAUGUGGAAUCAGCAAAAGACCACAGAAUUAGUCUACCUGAGUCUAUCUUAUUCAACAUUGACUUCACAGGUGCUCCAUGCUCAGGAAAGCAUGUGGGGUCACUUAGAAGAAGGGGUUACUCGGGCAGUUGUUCUCUAUGUGCUUCAGCCAGCACUGGCUUCAGCUUGGAUAAGCUGCAUUUCUGAAGCCUCUGAUAGCAGGAUAACUGCUCAUGCUUGUCAUUGUUGAGAUUUGUAAGUACUCCAAGUGUCUAGGACAGUGGAUCGCCCUUCCCUUCAAUAGCAUGCCUUUAACAUUACCAAAUGUUGUUAUAGACUCAACAGCAAAGGGCAUUAAAAUAUCCACUGGCUUUGACUUUUGAAUGAGUAAAUUUCAGUGCAUUGGAUCCACUAAAGCAAUAGCUACUAAGGUCUGCAUGUUCCUUACAUUCGCUGCAAAAAGACACCUGGACCCAGGCAGCAAACGUAUAAAGUGAAUGUGUGCUUUAAACUCAUUUACAAGUUGAGUAUCCACUGGGAUCAUCAAAACCAUUGUGAACAGAACAGCUGAGGGCUCACUUGGACCACAAGUGGGAGGCAGAGAGAGAAUCAAUUGGAAUGGCCUGGGCUUUUGAUACCUGUAAACCCAGCCCCAGGGACACUGCUCUUCCCCAGACUAUACUGCCUAAUUCUUCCUAAACUGUUGUCCCAACUAGGAAUUGUAUUGAAGCACAUGACCCUAGGGGGACCAACCUAAUUCAAUCUCCUACAUAGGUGCUGAUCUUUGUCACUAGGAAGAAAAAGGCUGUGAAGGCAACAGUCAAGACAGGCACUGUGCUGAGGUAGUGAGCGGGACACUCUCCACCUCUCCAGGUCCUGUUCUCAUGGAUCAUUCAUGAGGGAAUUAUAAGUGAAAAAAAAGGAAAACACUCUGUGGAUAUGUUUGUGCUUUGGACUGGGGUUUGGUUCCUAUAGUCCAGGGAGACGUGGUUUUUUCCAUGAUACCAAAUGAUUCCUAUGUACCUAUUUUGGCUCAAUUUCAAGUCCACAUAUUGGGACUAGUAAUAUUUGGUUGCUGUCUUGUUUUAGACAAGAAAGUCAAGCUCAAAAAUAUACCUACACCUUUCUCCAGACCUAUUUCCUUCUAAACUGGUUAGGUACCAACACUUACUAGGACCAUGAGGGCCUCGACAGUGUUUGCCAAGCUCAUGGUAGAAUUCAUGGGACCUAGUAGGAAACUUUGCUGUUGUUUGCUAUUUCCUCAGAUCUUGGAAAAGAAUCUAAAAAUGGUUAAAAGAUUUGAGUUUAGAAGUAGUACCUGAUUACUGGAGACUGCUCAAAAGGGUUUAAAAUAACCAUGACUAUGUAAGAGAAAUGCUACUAAAAUUAAGAGAGACCCUAGAGUGGAAGCCAGAGACACCAGGAGAGGAACAGGGAAGAAUGAUGUCUGGUCCUAUGUUAGUAAGAUUACAGAGAAGGUCCAUGUUCCAUGCUGUAUUGGCCUUUCUCUGGGGCAACAGAGGUGGAAGUACAAGGCUCAAAUAAUUAGGCAGUUAUCCUGGACUAGCACCACAUUCAAUACUGUUAAUUUCAAUGCUGCCAGCCUGCUGCCCGACUCUACGCCAACAGAGCCUCUUUCAGUGAGCAGAGGAGUUGUGGUCAUGACUGUCUCUCAAUCUAGAUGGAGGGACAAUAGGAUUUGACGUGGUGAUGCUGCAGUGGAUGCAGACAAGAUGUCUAGCCGUGAACCAACGUGAGGACAAGGUACAUUCUAGGUUCUUUCCUUGGUCGUAUCUCUUAUGGACAUUGGAGCUCAGCUCAUCCAGAUGGACACUAGGAAUUCGGCUUCAGCUUGUAGUGGGUCCACAGGACCUCUGAGUGAAUAUCUCAUUUGUGGUUGCAGGUGGAAGGACCCUUUUAUUUGUACCUCGUGGAACAUGGGAUCUGAAGAGGUAGAAUGCUUCCUCCCCUAGGUAUAUGCACACUGGUACAAGACUGACAUAUCCUGUUUGUCAAGGAAAAGGUGUGUGUGCCUCUGCCUGUUUAGGAAGACAGUGCUUCUGGUAGCUUUUCCCAGGGUUCCUCUAACUUGUUAACUCUGCAUGAUUUCAAUCAGGGGCUCAGUGGAAUGGGCUCUACCUGCUAAGGCAUCCAUAGGGUCAGUAACCAUAUGAACUGCUUGGAGUCUGUCUUCUUUUGCUAGAUUAUUUGCAAUACCUCUCCAUCUGUCUGUGUAUAUAGAGAAGUACGAAGCCAUGAUUUGUUUUGUAUUCUGGUCUUCACCCUUGCUUGGACGUUUAAUCUAAAGCAACCAUUCCAAGUGGUAACUCCAUAGGGAGAUCCAGGGGGCCAUGAAAGUUGGACAAGGGAUGGGACACAGAUUAGUGGUGAGAAUGUAUUCUCAGAAAGCAAGAGGAAAACUCAUACCCCAAGACUGAUUCUUACCAUAGUGCCUAGCUCCGGUUUAGCUUUCUGUCUGGAUACAAGAUGCUGUACAAGCAGGAACUUUGUGACUCUACUGAGGUAAGGCCCACCUGCCUUCUGGGAAGAAAUUUUGCCUUCUUUUAUGAAUGCCUGACUGUCUGCUAGAGUCAAGUCAGACCGGGGUCUACCAGCAGAUUUCCUGAUUUGCUGCUUCAUGGAAGGUUAUGAGGGACACACUUGAAGCUCAUGUUAAUGGGAUCAAUGUUUGUUGAUCUUAAAGGAAGGAACUGGAAGAAAAAAAGAGGCCUCCAUAUGCUUAGAGAUACUGAAUACAUAUCAGUCAUCGUCUCUGUGGGCUGGGGACUUUGAUUCCCAUGAUACUAUAAACUAUUGUCAAGUCCAGAACCUUGAGACUCGUGCGGUACGGACUCAACAGCCCUGGCCAUUGCUUUUCUUUGUUUCAUUUCUUUUAUUUAGUAAGCAUUCCAUUCAUUCACAUUUCAAAUGCUAUCUCACUUCCAGGUUACCCCUCCACAACCCCCGUCCCACAUCUGCCCUCACACCCCUCUGCCAUGUCUAUAUGAAGGUGCUCGCCCACCCUCACAUCCUCUCCCACUUCUCCAGUUUCUCCCUAUGCUGGGGAAAUCAAACCUCUACAGGACCAAGGGGCUAUCCUCCCCUUGCUAUCAGGAAAAUAUUUUCUUCCAUAAAUAGGUACUUGUAGCCAUGGAUCCCUCCCUGUACACUCCUUAUUUGGUGGCCUAGAUUCUGGGACCACUGGGUUGUUUGUUAGGCCAAUGUUUUUCUUCCUAUUGGGUUACAAUAACCUCUCCUUCUGUAGUCCCUGCGACAGCUGCUCCACCAGGGUCCCUGAGUUCAGUCUGAUGGUUAGCUCCAAGCUUCCACAUCUGCAUUGCUCAGUUGAUAACCAGGCCUCCCAAGAAUCAGUCAAACCAGGAUUCUGUUAGCAAGCGCCUCAUGACAAAGACAACAGUUUCAGGUUUGGUGUCUGCACACAGUGUGGAUUCCCAGGUAGGAAAGUUCCUUGAGGACCCUUCCUUCAGUCUCUGCUCCAUUUUUUGUCCUUGUUCUUCCUGUGGACAGGAACAUUUCUGGGUAAAAUACUUUGAGAUGGGCAGGCUCAGCCCUCCAUUGGGGACUGUGCCUAUAUACUGGAGGUGGUCUCUUCAGGAUCUAUGUCCCUCUUCUCUGCAUAUUUAGGCUAAAGCCAUUCUCAGUGGGUCCUAGGAGCCUCUCAUUUCCUGGUCUGUGUGACCCUCAGUGGCCAUCUCCAGUUUGUAAUCCCUGUUACAUAUUUUUAUCCAUUUCCUAAACCUCUCUUCCUCUUUACCAUCUCCUCCACUAUCUUAUAUUGCCCCUUUAUUUCCUCCUCCUCCUGUCUCCCUCCCUGGUCCCCUUAUUCCUCCCCCUCCUGCAAUAAUCCUGUAACCUCCUCAAUGCAGAACUGAAGCAUCCACACCCUGGUCUUCCUUCCUCCUUAGCUCCAUAUGGUCUGUGGGUUUUAUCAUGGGUAUUGUGAGCUUUUUGGAUAAUAUCCUCUUUUCAGUGAGUACAAAGUGUGUGGGUUUUUUGUGUGACUGGGUUACUUCACUCAGCAUAUUUUCUAGCUCCAUCCAUUUGCCUGAGAAUUUUAUGAAGUCAUAUUAUUUAAUAGCUGACUAGUAUUCCAUUGUGUAAAUGUAUCAUAUUUUUGCAUCCAUUUUUCUACUGAGGGACUUUUGGUUUGUUUCCAGCUUCUGGGUUUUAUAAAUAAGGGUGUUAUCAACAUAAUGGAGCAUGUAUCCUUGCUGUAUGUAGGGGAAUUUUUGUGCAUAUGCCCAGUACUGAUAAACUUUGUUUCUGAGUCUUUAUUUUCUCUCUUUCCAAUAAUCCCCUCUCCCCACCUAGAAGACUACUGGACGUUUUGCCAGACAGACCCACAUACUCUGCUCUCCUUUUUAGGGGUAGUUAGGUCUUAUUGUCUUUUCACUCUCAUCACAGACACAGAUGUCCCAAUUUCAAGUUUAUUUCCUGUCCCAGUCCAGGAGGAUUUGGAUCUUUCUUGCAUGAACUCUGUUCUCUCCUCAAUUAACCAUGUCCUGUUUCUUCAGCCAGCUGAGAAGAUGCCAGAGCCAUUACAUGUACCCUAGCCUCAGCAGACAGGUCUUGCCAUACUUUCAGAGUCCUCUGCCUAUCACAAAGUCACUUGUUGUUGUUGUCGAGGUCGUUGUUGUUGUUGAUGUUGUUGUUGUUGUUGUUGUCGUUGUUGUUGUUGUUGUUGUUGUUGUUGUUGAGAAAUAUCCCUAGCUCACCUGUUGUUGUCCUCCCUCAGUCACCUUCUCUUCACUGUGACCGAAAUGGCAGGAGGAAAGUAAACACUCUGCUGAGCCAUCGGUGUCUGUCCACCAAGUUUACCCUUCUAUUCCUAAUGGGCCCUGUUCACAGGGGCUGAGGUCUGCAGUUGCCAUUCUUUACUGUUGUGUCUCUCCGUUCUCAGUUCUAACAAGGCUACGUAAAGUACACUGGGGUGGAGUAGGUAAGGCAGUAACCUGAGACGUGGAGCUGAGAUACUGUGGCCUCAGCUCAUGCUCCAUAAAGGAUGAAGCCACUUGGCCCCAUGGAGAACAGGAGCACUAGAUGUUGCCUUGUCCAGCAACCCCUCAAGCCUAUUUCUGCUGGAGUAAGGGAGGCCCCAGCCUGCCUAGGGGGGAUGUGGUUCAAAAUGAACAUCAUUUAUAUUAUGGUUCCAUAAAGAGUCAGUUCAUAUAUUCAAAUGUUGGGAAAUGAGUGGUCAGAAUUGUCAGUGAAAGCUACUCAAUACAUUUUGAGUCCCUUAAACUCAGGCAAGGAAAAUCAGACCUGUAUAUUCCCUGAGGUCUUCAGGGGUCCCAGUGUCUGUCUAAUGGAAAACAUUGUACAGGAACAUGGAAGGAUUUCUAGAGAAGGUUAUGUAUAUUAGGAGGGUUGAUUUAGGAAUAUCUGAAUACAGAAGGCACUUAGCUCCUAACAUUGGGAGUAAGUCUUUUACUAUGUGGCAGUUCUCCACGGGUAUUUUCCCAUCUCCUUGGUCGAUGCCUCCAUUGGUGAGACAAACUUAGCAACAAUCCAAGAGUCACCACUGGACCUCUGGAUGAGCCCAGCUGUUUGAGAAGAGCUUCAGAACAUACAAUAUUGACACCAACUGCCAUCCUACCUGUACAUUGGCAUUUCUCUCCAAAUGCCUUUUUAUUGUACAAUGAGCAUCUUUCUCCAACAGGGAGCCUACCUCCCUGUACAUAUGGAAUCUGUUGUCAACUGCCAUCUUUUUUGAAUAUAGACCGUCUAUCUGCAAUUUUGUUCCUCCCCAAAUAGAGGGCAUCUCUCGCAACCUGCCUUCCUCCGGGGACAUAGAGUAACUCUGAGCAAUUGCAUCCCUUGACAUCCUCUAAAAUUCUUAAGUGGAAGAAAAAUAGUCUUGGGGCCCAUAACCAAUAUCUCAAAAUUGACAUCUCUCAAAACCAUUCAGAUGAACUGUGAGAACAGUAGAAGAUAGGAAAAUUCAGUCUGAUUAAAUCAGGGUAGAAUUAUCCCCAGUUUCUUAUAAAGUUAGGUAGGGAUAUGUCAGGUAGUGUCUUGGAGAUAUUUGUGUAGAGAUAGGAGUAUCUGAUAGAAUCUGUACGUUAUGUCCAGUUCUGAGGAACCCUGUCUGACAAACGAGCAAAGUUCAAUGAUGAGAACAUAUAUAAUUGAAAAAUUAAUAGAUCAGGAAGAAGGCAUGGGAAGCAAGGGUUAAAUAGUGUAGUGUCAGUAGUCAUCCAAGAAACCUAGCCUUAUGGCCAGCACCACAGGAAAAAACAACUCAGGAGUCAGUAUGUGAUACUUUUUCCAAUUGGCCAGGGUGCAUUUGAGAUCAUGAAUCCUGCCUGCCACAUAAAAACACAGGCGUUAGUGAUUAUAAAACUGUAGAGGUCAUCAAAUAUCUCAUUGUAAGGAUCCAGUCACAAAUAUAAACAAUGAAAACACUAUUCCAUUCUAAUAUCAAUAGCCUCUAUCAGGUUCUAGGAACGUCGAUUCAGAUCCAUCUACUUUCUGAGAAUGCUCCAGAAGAAAACGUCCUUGACCAAAGAGUGGAGGGGGGCAUGUUGCAGAAGGAAGAUCAUAGAAAAUACUUGGACACUUAUGGGCAUCAAUAAAAUACUGCCACAAAAAUUGAACUUGUCCAUCCAGACAUAAAAUUCCAGAAUAUCCACAAAGAUGCAGUGGAUAAUGUAAAAUUCAUAGACCUCACCAGCCCAUCAAUGCAGACACAGCCCCUCACUGAAAUGGCAGCAUGGGACCAAGGAUUUUAUGCUCCAGAGCUCACACUAGGAGAGCCACAGGAUGGCAUGGAGGCAGAUGGGUAGAUUGUGGGCAAGCUACUCUAUUAUAUCACCACAGGGUCACAUUUCUUUAGUGGAAGGACCACGAAAGAGAUCAGAAAUAGAUUGUCACAGGGACCUAUGACAUUGUAACUCACUUCUGGCAACCGGAAACCUGAUGCACCAAAUUCUUACAGUUUACCCAGAUAAGGCCCUCCAUUGAGAACAUUGAGAGACAUUUUUGUGUAAUGAGAGGAAAUGUGAAGUACUUAGCUCGACUGUCACCUAUCCAGAUUCUCAAACUGUAGACAUGCUCUGAGGUAUGGAAUUUUAUAGUUGCAGGAAAUUAAAUCCUUGAACAAGUAAAACUACCGUAAAAUGAUGGGGGACAUAUUUAAAUUUAAAAGAACAGGAACAGAGGGCACUUGAGCAUGGAUCUAAGACUUUUGUCAUUACCGGGCUUACAUGCCCUAUGCCACCCAAAUCAUGAGCACAUCCCUUUAUUCUCUUCCUCCACCAAAGAGAAAGGGGAGUAACCCCAACUUUAGCCUCAUUCAUAUCCAGCCCUAGGAGAGCAUGGGCCUCCUGCCCUGACACAAUAAGGCCAGUAGUGGCAAGAAGUGCUUCCAUGCCUGCCACUACAUUACAGUGUCCCAAGAAGAGGAGCACAGAGACUGCCUGUGCCCUCCCUCCAUUACUGGAGAUUUGUCUACCCACUGAGCCCACAUCAGCAUACCAGAAGAGCAAAUGCCCCUGCAAUCUAAGUAAUUCUUAGACAAGGAGCUCUAAGUAAAGCCUCAGAGGAUUGUGUGCUUCAAGGGACUAGACAAGAAUAUCAGGGGUUUCCUGUCAAGAAUCUGUUGCCUCAAGGAGUCUCUGAGACAAAAUCCUACUACAUAUCUCUCAAGAAUAUGGGUCCACUGACAAGGCAGGACACAGAACCCAUGAAUUUCUAGGCAAGUACGGGAUGGUGUAUCACUUCUUGACCUUCUUCACUAUACCAUGCUACAGUCAUUAGCCUCUUCUAGGACCUACUAAAAUCAAAGGGGGUCAAUCUAGAUACUGAGUGUGCUCCAGCAGGGGACUUCUUGAACUAAUAAUGGAGGAGGCCCCAAGCAGGAAGAUGGGGUAAAAAUAUUUGUGCAAAUAGUGACAGCCAUAAUGUAUUGAAACACCCUUGACUUUGUCUAUGCAAACAUAAAACACCAGAAUAUCCUCACCGAGUCAGAGGUUGAUGAGAAAUAGACAGAGAUGACCUGAACCUCAAUGCAGACUUUGCAUCUUCCUGAAAAGGCAGCAUGGGUCCAAGGGAAUUAUGCUGUAGACCUCACACUAGAUGAGCCAUUUGAUGGCAAAAAAGGCAGAUGCGGACAGUUUGGGCAUGCUCUUAUAUUACCUGACCACAUGUUCGCAGGCACUGAGAGUAAACACCAUGGAAGAGACAAAUAUUGUCACAGUGACCUAUGACAUUGCAACUCACUUCUCUUGGCAAAUUGAAAUCUAAAUCCCCAGACACUCACAUUUUCCCCAAAGUUGAGUUCCUCCAUAGAAAACAUGGAGGGACAUUCAUGGGUAACGAAUGUGAAGUUAAUAUGUAGACUGUGACUUCUCCAGAUUCUAACAUUAUGGACAGGCUUUGAAUCAUGGAGUUUCAUGUCAAGUAACUGGAACCCCCCAAAAAAGUAAAUGGAAAAGAUGGGGCCCUAACUACUCUAGAAGAACAGACACAAGAUGUGAGCAUGGAUCUAAGACUUCAUCCAAGCCUGUGGAUCCAGGUGCUCCACCACCCCGACUCCUGCACACCCCUUCAUGUCUUGUCUUCCACCCAACGGAACGGCCUGUGAGCCCAACAGUGUCCUCCUCCUUUACCAGCCUUCAGGAGAGCAUGGACCUGCUGCCCUGACUCUGUCAGGACACAGGAGGGCAAGAAGAGCUCCCAUGCUUUCCAUUGCUCUACACUGUCCCAAGAGGAGGAGCAGAUACUGCCUGUGCCCUGUAUUCUGUAGAUGGGUCUGCCCCUGUGAACACAUGAGCACAUCAGAACAGGAAAUUCCACUGUCGCCUGAGGAAGACUUGGACAAGGAAACCUUCAUCACCCUCUCAGAAAAUUGGGUGUCUCAUCAGAAUGGGGAUAAAGAGAGCUUCCCUGUUAUUUCAAAACUAUCUGAAGACAAUCCACAACCCCCCACCCACCCAUAUCUUCCAAGAACCUAGGUCCUCUAAAUCAGGGAGGACGCAGUAGGAAAUGAAAUGGUAUGCUUGUAUGGGAGUGUUCAUCACAACAUUGACAUUGUACACUACAUCAUCCUAUUACCAUUAACCUCUUCUAGGUUCUAGUAACAUCAAAUCCUUUCCAGCUAGAUACUCAGUAUGUUCCAGAAGGAAACUUUUUGACCUCAGAAUGGAGGAGGGGCUGCUGCAAGAGGAGGAGUCAAAGAAUUCUAUUUGGGCACAUAGUGCCGGACAUAAAGUAUUGCCACUAUCUUGACAUUGUUUAUUGAGACAUUAAACAUCAAUGCAUUUUGCAAAUUGCAGACUGAUAUAUGAAGGUAAUAGUGCUUGCUUACUAGGAUCAAAAUCAAAUAUUCUUAUUAAUAUUCCUCUAUCUUCUCACAUUAAAGCAUUAUAUGUGCACCAAGGUGGCAUUGCCUGAGAAGACGUAAACAAAUACCUGUGUAACCCAGAUGUGGAAUCAGCAAAAGACCACAGAAUUAGUCUACCUGAGUCUAUCUUAUUCAACAUUGACUUCACAGGUGCUCCAUGCUCAGGAAAGCAUGUGGGGUCACUUAGAAGAAGGGGUUACUCGGGCAGUUGUUCUCUAUGUGCUUCAGCCAGCACUGGCUUCAGCUUGGAUAAGCUGCAUUUCUGAAGCCUCUGAUAGCAGGAUAACUGCUCAUGCUUGUCAUUGUUGAGAUUUGUAAGUACUCCAAGUGUCUAGGACAGUGGAUCGCCCUUCCCUUCAAUAGCAUGCCUUUAACAUUACCAAAUGUUGUUAUAGACUCAACAGCAAAGGGCAUUAAAAUAUCCACUGGCUUUGACUUUUGAAUGAGUAAAUUUCAGUGCAUUGGAUCCACUAAAGCAAUAGCUACUAAGGUCUGCAUGUUCCUUACAUUCGCUGCAAAAAGACACCUGGACCCAGGCAGCAAACGUAUAAAGUGAAUGUGUGCUUUAAACUCAUUUACAAGUUGAGUAUCCACUGGGAUCAUCAAAACCAUUGUGAACAGAACAGCUGAGGGCUCACUUGGACCACAAGUGGGAGGCAGAGAGAGAAUCAAUUGGAAUGGCCUGGGCUUUUGAUACCUGUAAACCCAGCCCCAGGGACACUGCUCUUCCCCAGACUAUACUGCCUAAUUCUUCCUAAACUGUUGUCCCAACUAGGAAUUGUAUUGAAGCACAUGACCCUAGGGGGACCAACCUAAUUCAAUCUCCUACAUAGGUGCUGAUCUUUGUCACUAGGAAGAAAAAGGCUGUGAAGGCAACAGUCAAGACAGGCACUGUGCUGAGGUAGUGAGCGGGACACUCUCCACCUCUCCAGGUCCUGUUCUCAUGGAUCAUUCAUGAGGGAAUUAUAAGUGAAAAAAAAGGAAAACACUCUGUGGAUAUGUUUGUGCUUUGGACUGGGGUUUGGUUCCUAUAGUCCAGGGAGACGUGGUUUUUUCCAUGAUACCAAAUGAUUCCUAUGUACCUAUUUUGGCUCAAUUUCAAGUCCACAUAUUGGGACUAGUAAUAUUUGGUUGCUGUCUUGUUUUAGACAAGAAAGUCAAGCUCAAAAAUAUACCUACACCUUUCUCCAGACCUAUUUCCUUCUAAACUGGUUAGGUACCAACACUUACUAGGACCAUGAGGGCCUCGACAGUGUUUGCCAAGCUCAUGGUAGAAUUCAUGGGACCUAGUAGGAAACUUUGCUGUUGUUUGCUAUUUCCUCAGAUCUUGGAAAAGAAUCUAAAAAUGGUUAAAAGAUUUGAGUUUAGAAGUAGUACCUGAUUACUGGAGACUGCUCAAAAGGGUUUAAAAUAACCAUGACUAUGUAAGAGAAAUGCUACUAAAAUUAAGAGAGACCCUAGAGUGGAAGCCAGAGACACCAGGAGAGGAACAGGGAAGAAUGAUGUCUGGUCCUAUGUUAGUAAGAUUACAGAGAAGGUCCAUGUUCCAUGCUGUAUUGGCCUUUCUCUGGGGCAACAGAGGUGGAAGUACAAGGCUCAAAUAAUUAGGCAGUUAUCCUGGACUAGCACCACAUUCAAUACUGUUAAUUUCAAUGCUGCCAGCCUGCUGCCCGACUCUACGCCAACAGAGCCUCUUUCAGUGAGCAGAGGAGUUGUGGUCAUGACUGUCUCUCAAUCUAGAUGGAGGGACAAUAGGAUUUGACGUGGUGAUGCUGCAGUGGAUGCAGACAAGAUGUCUAGCCGUGAACCAACGUGAGGACAAGGUACAUUCUAGGUUCUUUCCUUGGUCGUAUCUCUUAUGGACAUUGGAGCUCAGCUCAUCCAGAUGGACACUAGGAAUUCGGCUUCAGCUUGUAGUGGGUCCACAGGACCUCUGAGUGAAUAUCUCAUUUGUGGUUGCAGGUGGAAGGACCCUUUUAUUUGUACCUCGUGGAACAUGGGAUCUGAAGAGGUAGAAUGCUUCCUCCCCUAGGUAUAUGCACACUGGUACAAGACUGACAUAUCCUGUUUGUCAAGGAAAAGGUGUGUGUGCCUCUGCCUGUUUAGGAAGACAGUGCUUCUGGUAGCUUUUCCCAGGGUUCCUCUAACUUGUUAACUCUGCAUGAUUUCAAUCAGGGGCUCAGUGGAAUGGGCUCUACCUGCUAAGGCAUCCAUAGGGUCAGUAACCAUAUGAACUGCUUGGAGUCUGUCUUCUUUUGCUAGAUUAUUUGCAAUACCUCUCCAUCUGUCUGUGUAUAUAGAGAAGUACGAAGCCAUGAUUUGUUUUGUAUUCUGGUCUUCACCCUUGCUUGGACGUUUAAUCUAAAGCAACCAUUCCAAGUGGUAACUCCAUAGGGAGAUCCAGGGGGCCAUGAAAGUUGGACAAGGGAUGGGACACAGAUUAGUGGUGAGAAUGUAUUCUCAGAAAGCAAGAGGAAAACUCAUACCCCAAGACUGAUUCUUACCAUAGUGCCUAGCUCCGGUUUAGCUUUCUGUCUGGAUACAAGAUGCUGUACAAGCAGGAACUUUGUGACUCUACUGAGGUAAGGCCCACCUGCCUUCUGGGAAGAAAUUUUGCCUUCUUUUAUGAAUGCCUGACUGUCUGCUAGAGUCAAGUCAGACCGGGGUCUACCAGCAGAUUUCCUGAUUUGCUGCUUCAUGGAAGGUUAUGAGGGACACACUUGAAGCUCAUGUUAAUGGGAUCAAUGUUUGUUGAUCUUAAAGGAAGGAACUGGAAGAAAAAAAGAGGCCUCCAUAUGCUUAGAGAUACUGAAUACAUAUCAGUCAUCGUCUCUGUGGGCUGGGGACUUUGAUUCCCAUGAUACUAUAAACUAUUGUCAAGUCCAGAACCUUGAGACUCGUGCGGUACGGACUCAACAGCCCUGGCCAUUGCUUUUCUUUGUUUCAUUUCUUUUAUUUAGUAAGCAUUCCAUUCAUUCACAUUUCAAAUGCUAUCUCACUUCCAGGUUACCCCUCCACAACCCCCGUCCCACAUCUGCCCUCACACCCCUCUGCCAUGUCUAUAUGAAGGUGCUCGCCCACCCUCACAUCCUCUCCCACUUCUCCAGUUUCUCCCUAUGCUGGGGAAAUCAAACCUCUACAGGACCAAGGGGCUAUCCUCCCCUUGCUAUCAGGAAAAUAUUUUCUUCCAUAAAUAGGUACUUGUAGCCAUGGAUCCCUCCCUGUACACUCCUUAUUUGGUGGCCUAGAUUCUGGGACCACUGGGUUGUUUGUUAGGCCAAUGUUUUUCUUCCUAUUGGGUUACAAUAACCUCUCCUUCUGUAGUCCCUGCGACAGCUGCUCCACCAGGGUCCCUGAGUUCAGUCUGAUGGUUAGCUCCAAGCUUCCACAUCUGCAUUGCUCAGUUGAUAACCAGGCCUCCCAAGAAUCAGUCAAACCAGGAUUCUGUUAGCAAGCGCCUCAUGACAAAGACAACAGUUUCAGGUUUGGUGUCUGCACACAGUGUGGAUUCCCAGGUAGGAAAGUUCCUUGAGGACCCUUCCUUCAGUCUCUGCUCCAUUUUUUGUCCUUGUUCUUCCUGUGGACAGGAACAUUUCUGGGUAAAAUACUUUGAGAUGGGCAGGCUCAGCCCUCCAUUGGGGACUGUGCCUAUAUACUGGAGGUGGUCUCUUCAGGAUCUAUGUCCCUCUUCUCUGCAUAUUUAGGCUAAAGCCAUUCUCAGUGGGUCCUAGGAGCCUCUCAUUUCCUGGUCUGUGUGACCCUCAGUGGCCAUCUCCAGUUUGUAAUCCCUGUUACAUAUUUUUAUCCAUUUCCUAAACCUCUCUUCCUCUUUACCAUCUCCUCCACUAUCUUAUAUUGCCCCUUUAUUUCCUCCUCCUCCUGUCUCCCUCCCUGGUCCCCUUAUUCCUCCCCCUCCUGCAAUAAUCCUGUAACCUCCUCAAUGCAGAACUGAAGCAUCCACACCCUGGUCUUCCUUCCUCCUUAGCUCCAUAUGGUCUGUGGGUUUUAUCAUGGGUAUUGUGAGCUUUUUGGAUAAUAUCCUCUUUUCAGUGAGUACAAAGUGUGUGGGUUUUUUGUGUGACUGGGUUACUUCACUCAGCAUAUUUUCUAGCUCCAUCCAUUUGCCUGAGAAUUUUAUGAAGUCAUAUUAUUUAAUAGCUGACUAGUAUUCCAUUGUGUAAAUGUAUCAUAUUUUUGCAUCCAUUUUUCUACUGAGGGACUUUUGGUUUGUUUCCAGCUUCUGGGUUUUAUAAAUAAGGGUGUUAUCAACAUAAUGGAGCAUGUAUCCUUGCUGUAUGUAGGGGAAUUUUUGUGCAUAUGCCCAGUACUGAUAAACUUUGUUUCUGAGUCUUUAUUUUCUCUCUUUCCAAUAAUCCCCUCUCCCCACCUAGAAGACUACUGGACGUUUUGCCAGACAGACCCACAUACUCUGCUCUCCUUUUUAGGGGUAGUUAGGUCUUAUUGUCUUUUCACUCUCAUCACAGACACAGAUGUCCCAAUUUCAAGUUUAUUUCCUGUCCCAGUCCAGGAGGAUUUGGAUCUUUCUUGCAUGAACUCUGUUCUCUCCUCAAUUAACCAUGUCCUGUUUCUUCAGCCAGCUGAGAAGAUGCCAGAGCCAUUACAUGUACCCUAGCCUCAGCAGACAGGUCUUGCCAUACUUUCAGAGUCCUCUGCCUAUCACAAAGUCACUUGUUGUUGUUGUCGAGGUCGUUGUUGUUGUUGAUGUUGUUGUUGUUGUUGUCGUUGUUGUUGUUGUUGUUGUUGUUGUUGUUGUUGAGAAAUAUCCCUAGCUCACCUGUUGUUGUCCUCCCUCAGUCACCUUCUCUUCACUGUGACCGAAAUGGCAGGAGGAAAGUAAACACUCUGCUGAGCCAUCUGUGUCUGUCCACCAAGUUUACCCUUCUAUUCCUAAUGGGCCCUGUUCACAGGGGCUGAGGUCUGCAGUUGCCAUUCUUUACUGUUGUGUCUCUCCGUUCUCAGUUCUAACAAGGCUACGUAAAGUACACUGGGGUGGAGUAGGUAAGGCAGUAACCUGAGACGUGGAGCUGAGAUACUGUGGCCUCAGCUCAUGCUCCAUAAAGGAUGAAGCCACUUGGCCCCAUGGAGAACAGGAGCACUAGAUGUUGCCUUGUCCAGUAACCCCUCAAGCCUAUUUCUGCUGGAGUAAGGGAGGCCCCAGCCUGCCUAGGGGGGAUGUGGUUCAAAAUGAACAUCUUUUAUAUUAUGGUUCCAUAAAGAGUCGGUUCAUAUAUUCAAAUGUUUGGAAAUGAGUGGUCAGAAUUGUCAGUGAAAGUUACUCAAUACAUUUUGAGUCCCUUAAACUUAGGCAAGGAAAAUCAGACCUGUAUAUUCCCUGAGGUCUUCAGGGGUCCCAGUGUCUGGCUAAUGGAAAACAUUCUACAGGAACAUGAAAGGAUUUCUAGAGAAGGUUAUGUGUAUUAGUUGGGUUAAUUUAGGAAUAUCUGAAUACAGAGGGCACAUAACUACUAAAAUUGGAAGUAAGUCUUCUACUAUGUGGCAGUUCUCUCCACAGGUAUUUUCCCAUCUCCUUGGUUGAUGCCUCCAUUAGUGAGACAAACUUAGCGACAAUCCAAGUGUCAACUCUAGACAUUUGUGAGAAGAGCUGCGGAAUAUCCAAAAUUGACACCAACCGCCAUCUCAUCUGUACACUGGCAUUUCUCUCCAAAUGCCUUUUAUUGUACGGUGAGCAUCUCUUUCCAACUGCCUACCUCCCUGUACAUAUGGAAUCUGUUGUCAACUGCCUUUCUUUUUUGUAAAUAGACUGUCUAUCUCCAAUUACAUUCCUGUCCAAAUAGAGGGCAUCCCUCGCAAACUGCCUUUCUCCCAGAAUGUAGAAUACCUCUGGGCAAGUGCUUCCCUGACUUCUUCUAAAAUUCUUAACUGGAAGAAAAAUAGUCUUGGGGCCCAGAACCAAUAUCUCAAAAUUGACAUCUCUCAAAACCAUUCAGAUGAAGUGUGAGAACAGUAGAAGAUAGGAAAAUUCAGUAUAAUUAUAUCAGGGUAGAAUUAUCCCCAGUUUCUUAUAAAGUUAGGUAAGGGUAUGUCAGGUAGUGUCUUGGAGAUAUUUGUGGUAGAUAUGGGAGUAUCUGAUGGAAUCUAAGUUAUGUCGAGUUCUGAGCGACCCUGUCUGACAAACGAGCAAAGUUCAAUGAUGAGAACAUACAUAAUUGAAAAAUUAAUAGAUCAGGAAGAAGGUGGGGAUGCAAGCCUUAAAUUGUGUAAAGUACUGUCAGGAACCAUCCAAGAAACCUAGCCUUAGGGCCAGCACCACAGGAAAAAAAACAACUCAGGAAUCAUUACAUGAUACUUUUCCCAAAUGACCAGCGUGCAUUUGAGACCAUGAAUCCAGCCUGCAACACAAAAACACAGGCCUUAGUGAUCAUAAAACUGUAGAGGUCAUGAAAUAUCUCAUUGGAAGGAUCCAGUCACAAAUACCAACAGUGGAAACACUAUACCAUUCUAAUAUCAAGAGCUUCUAAUAGGUUCUAGGAACAUCAGAGAAGAUCCAUCUACUUUCUGAGAAUGCGCCAGAAGGAAACGCCUUUGACCAAAUAGUGGAAGGGGGCAUGUUGCAGAAGGCAGAGCCAAAGAAAAUAUUUGGACACAUAUGGGCAUCAAUAAAGUACUGCCACAAAAAUUGAACUUGUCCAUCCAGGCAUAAAAUUCGAGAAUACCCAAAAAGAUGCAGUGGAUUAUGUAAAAUCAUAGACGUCACCAGCCCAUCACCGCAGACACUGCCCCUCACUGAAAUGGCAGCAGAGGACCAAGGAUUUUAUGCUCCAGAACUGAUACUACGGGAACCACAGGAUGGCAAGGAGGCAGAAGGGUAGAGUGUGGACAUGCUACUCCAUUAUAUCACCACAGGGUCCCCUUUCUUCAGUGGAAGGACCACGAAAGAGAUCAGAAAUAGAUUGUCACAGAGACCUAUGACAUUGCAACUCACUUCUGGCAACCAGAAACCUGAUCCACCAAAUUCUUACAGUUUACCCAGAAAUAAGGCCCUCCAUUGAGAACAUUGAGACAUUUUUGUGUAAUGAGAGGAAAUGUGAAGUACUUAGCUCGACUGUCACCUAUCCAGAUUCUCAAACUGUAGACAUGCUCUGAGGUAUGGAAUUUUAUAGUUGCAAGAAAUUAAAUCCUUGAACAAGUAAAACUACAGCAAAAUGAUGGGGGACAUAUUUAAAUUUAAAAGAACAGGAACAGAGGGCACUUGAGCAUGGGUCUAAGACUUUUGUCAUUACUGGGCUUACAUGCCCUAUGCCACCCAAAUCAUGAGCACAUCCCUUUAUUCUCUUCCUCCACCAAAGAGAAAGGAGAGUAACCCCAACUUUGGCCUCAUCCAUAUCCAGCCCUAGGAGAGCAUGGGCCUCCUGCCCUGACACAAUAAGGCCAGUAGUGGCAAGAAGUGCUUCCAUGCCUGCCACUACAUUACAGUGUCCCAAGAAGAGGAGCACAGAGACUGCCUGUGCCCUCCAUUCUGGAGAUGUGUCUACCCACUAAGUCUGCAUCAGCAUACCAGAAGAGCAAAUGCCCCUGCGAUCUAAGGAAUUCUUAGACAAGGAGCUCUAAGUAAAGCCUCAGAGGAUUGAGUGCUUCAAGGGACUAGACAAGAGUAUCAGGGUUUUCCUGUCAAGAAUCUGUUGUGUUAAGGAGUCUCUGAAGAUGAAAGCCUACUAUAUAACUUUCAAAAAUAUGGGUCCUGUGAAAGAAGCAGGACCCAGAACCCAUGAGUUUCUAGGCAAGUACGGGAUGGUGCAUCACUUCUUGACCUUCUUCACUAUACCAUGCUACACCCAUUAGCCUCUUCUAGGACCUACUAAUGCCAAAGGGGGUCCAUGUAGAUACUGAGUGUGCUCCAGCAGGGGACAUCCUGACCUAAAAAUGGAGAAGGACCCAAGCAGGAAAAAGAGGCAAAGAAAUAUUUCUGCAAAUAGUUGAAGCCAUUACGUACUGCCAGAACCUUGACAUCCAGAUAUAAAGCACCAGAUUGUCCUCAGAGAUUCAGAGCUUGAUUCGAAAUAAAACAGGCAUGUCCUGAACCUCGUUGCACUGCACAUCUUACUGAAAAGGCAGCACAGGACCAAGGCAUUUUAUGCUUCAGAGUUCACAUUAGGUGAGACAUGUAAUGGCAAGGAGGCAGAUGGGUAAAGUCUAAGCGUGCUCCUUUAUUUUAUCACCACAGGGACCCAUCCCUUUGCUGGAGUCACCAUGAAAGAGAUGGAGAAGACGAUUGUCACAGGAGUCUAUAACAUUAAACCUCACUUCUACUGGCAACUUGAAAUCUGAAUCUCCAGAUCCUCACAGUUUGGAAAAAGAUGAGGCCCUCCAUUCAAAGCAUUAAGAAAGAUUCUUGUGUAAUUAAAUGAAAUGUGAACAAAGAGACUGGAGAGUGACCCCAACUUUGGAGUCCAGCCCUUGGAGAACAUGGGCCUGCUGCCCUGACACAUUGAGGCCACAGUGUGGGAAGAAGUGCUUCCAUGCCUGCCAUUGCUUUACAUUGUCCCAAGAUGAGCAGAGAUACUGCCUGUGCCCUUCAUGCUCAACAGAGGUCUGCCCCAUGUGUCUGCACACCAGAGGAGGAAGUGCCCCUGCCAUCUAAAGAAUACUUGCACAAAGAACCCUUAUUAACACCUACAGAAUGGGGUGAUUCAAGGGACUGGGCAAGAAAAGGAGGGAUUUCCUGUCAAGGAUCUGUUACAUCAAGGAAUCUCUGAGACCAAACCCUACUAUAUAACUUUCAAGAAUAUGGGUCCUGUGAAAGAGGCAGGAUACAGAACCCCAUGAAUGGGUAAGAAAGUAUGGGAGUGAGCACCGCAUUGUUCACAUUCUUCCCUAUACCAUCGUAACAGCAUUAGCCUCUUCUAGGGCCUACUAACAUCAAAGGGGUCCAUGAAGAUACUGAGUGUGCCCCAGCAGGGGACUCCUUGACCUAAUAAUGGAGAAGGGUCCAACCAGGAAAAAGAGGCAAAGAAAAUAUUUUCAGCAAUUGUGGCAGCCAUAAAGUAGUACCAUGCCCUUGACCUUCUCCAUUCAGAUAUAAAAUGCAAGAAUAUCUGAAAAGAUGGAGAUGAUAAUGUGAAAUUUAUAGAUCUCACCUGACCAUCAAGGCAGACCCCGCCCCUUACUGAAGUUGCAGAAUGAGACCUAGGAUUUCAUGCCUCAGAGCUCACAUUAGGUGAACCAGGAGGCACAUGUGGCGAGUCUGUGCAGGUUACUUUAUUUUAUCACCACAGGGUCCCACCACUUCAGAGCAAGCAGCAUGAAAGGAAUGGAGAAAUAGAUUGUCACAGCGACCUAUGACAUUGCAACUCACUUCUGUUAACCAAUGAAAACUUAAUUCUGCAGACCCACAGCGUUUCCGUAAAAGAAGCCCUCCAUUCAAAAUAUUGACAUUUUUGGGUAAAAGAAAUGUGAGUAAAUAUCUCGACUGUGAUCUAUCCAGAUUCUCACAUUAUAGCCAGGUUCUGAGGAUGGAAUUCUAUAUUUUCAAGGCAUUGCAUUCCAUAAAAAAGAAAAAUUUAGCAAAAUGAUGUGGACAAAUAAAAAUUCACAAGAAAAGGGACAGAAGACAUUUGAGCAUGGAUCUAAGACUUACAUCAGCCCUGAGAUCCGUGACCUAUGCCACACCUAUCAUGAAUACACCCCUUUAUUCUCUUCUUCCACAAAAGAGACUGGAGAGUGACCCCAACUUUGGCCUCCUCCAUAUCCAGCCCUAGGAUAGCAUAGGACUUCUGCCCUGACACUGUCAGGCCAAAAGGGGGCAAUAAGUGCUUCCAUGCCUGACCUUGCUUUGCAUUGUCUCAAGAAGAAGAGCAGAGAUACAGCCUAUGCCCUCCAUUCUCAAGAUGUGUCUGCACCUUGUGUCUGCAUCAGCACACCAGAAAUGACAAUGUCCCUGCCAUCUAAGGAAUCCUUGCACAAGGAACCCUCAUGAACCAUUCAGAGAAUUUGGUGCUUCAAGGACUGGGCAAGAUAUCAGUGAUUUCCUGUUCCUCUCUGAAGGAGUCUCUGAGGACAAAACCCUACUACAUAUGUCUCAAGAAUAUGGGUCCUCUGACAAGGCAGGACACAGAACCCAUGAGUUUCUAGGCAAGUACGGGAUGGUGCAUCACUUCCUUGACCUUCUUCACUAUACCAUGCUAUAAUCAUUAGCCUCUUCUAGGACCUACUAAUGACAAAGGGGGUCCAUGUAAAUACUGAGUGUGCUCCAGCAGGGGACUUCUUGAACCAAUAAUGGAGGAGGCCCCAAGCAGGAAGAAGGGGCAAAAAUAUUUGUGCAAAUAGUGACAGCCAUAAAUUACUGACAUAGCCUUGACUUGGUCUGUGCAGACAUAAACACCAGAAUAUCCUCAGCGAGUCAGAGGUUGAUGAGAAAUAGACAGAGAUGACCUGAACCUCAAUGCAGACUUUGCAUCUUCCUGAAAAGGCAGCAUGGGUCCAAGGGAAUAAUGCUGUAGACCUCACACUAGAUGAGCCAUUUGAUGGCAGAAGAACAGAUGUGGGCAGUCUGGGCAUGCUACUUUAUUUUAUCACCACAUGUUCCCACACAUUCAUAGUAAACACCAUGGAAAAGACAAAUACUGUCACAGGGACCUAUGACAUUGCAACUCACUUCUCUUGGUAAAUUGAAAUCUAAAUCCCCAGACACUCACAUUUUCCCCAAAGUUGAGUUCCUCCAUAGAAAACAUGGAGGGACAUUCCCAGGUAAUGAAAUGUGAAGUUAAUAUGUAGACUGUGACUUCUCCAGAUUCUAACAUUAUGGACAGGCUUUGAAUCAUGGAGUUUCAUGUCAAGUAACUGGAAUCCCCCAAAAAAGUAAAUGGAAAAGAUGGGGCCCUAACUACUCUAGAAGAACAGACACAAGAUGUGAGCAUGGAUCUAAGACUUCAUCCAAGCCUGUGGAUCCAGGUGCUCCACCACCCCGACUCCUGCACACCCCUUCAUGUCUUGUCUUCCACCCAACGGAAGGGCUUGUGAGCCCAACUGUGUCCUCCUCCUUUACCAGCCCUCAGGAGAGCAUGGACCUGCUGCCCUGACUCUGUCAGGACACAGGGGGCAAGAAGAGCUCCCAUGCUUUCCAUUGCUCUACACUGUCCCAAGAGGAGGAGCAGAUACUGCCUGUGCCCUGUAUUCUGUAGAUGGUUCUGCCCCUGUGAACACAUGAGCACAUCAGAACAGGAAAUUCCACUGUCGCCUAAGGAAGACUUGGACAAGGAAACCUUCAUCACCCUCUCAGAAAAUUGGGUGUCUCAUCAGAAUGGGCAUAAGAGAGAGCUUCCCUGUUGUUUCCUGUUUCCUUUUUGUUAUUUCAAAAGUCUCUGAAGAAAAGCCACAACCCCCCACCCACCCAUAUCUUCCAAGAACCUAGGUCCUCUAAAGCAGGCAGGAAGCAUUAAGAAAUGAAAUGGUAUGCUUGUAUGGCAGUGUUCAUCACAACAUUGACCUUGUACAUUACACCAUCCUAUUACAAUUAAUCUAUACCAGGUCCUCGUUACAUCAAAGCCUUUCCAGCUAGAUACUCAGUAUGUUGCUGUAGGAAACUUCUUUGACCUCAGAAUAGAGGAGGGCCGGCUGCAAGAGGAGGAGUCAAAGAAAACUAUUUGGGCAGAGAGUGCCGGACAUAAAGUAUCGCCACUAUCUUGACAUUGUUUAUUGAGACAUUAAACAUCAAUACAUUUUGCAAAUUGCAGACUGACAUAUGAAGGUAAUAGAGCAUGAUAACCAGGAUCUAAAUGAAAUAUUCUUAUCAAUAUUCCUGUAUCUUUUCUCUUUAAAGCAUUAUAUGUGCACCAAGGUGGCAUUGCCUGAGAAGACAUAAACAAAUACCUGUGUAACCCAGAUGUGGAAUUAGCAAAAGACCACAGAAUUAGUCUACCUGAGUCUAUCUUAUUCAACAUUGACUUCACAGGUGCUCCAUGCUCAGGAGAGCGUGUGGGGUCACUUAGAAGAAGGGGUUACUUGGGCAGUUGUUCUCUAUGUGCUUCAGCCAGCACUGGCUUCAGCUUGGAUAAGCUGCAUUUCUGAAGCCUCUGAUAGCAGGAUAACCACUCAUGGUUGUCAUGGUUGAGAUUUAUAAGUACUCCAAGUGUCCAGGACAGUGGAUCGCCCUUCCCUUCAAUAACAUGCCUUUAGCAUUCACAAAUAUAUAUUAAUGACUCGACAGCAAAAGGCACUAAAAUAUCCACUGGCUUUGACUUUUGAAUAAGUAAAUUUCAGUGCAUUGGAUCCACUAAAGCAAUAGCUACUAAGGUCUGCAUGUUCCUUACAUUCGCUGCAAAAAGACACCUGGACCCAGGCAGCAAACGUAUAAAAGUGAAUGUGUGCUUUAAACUCAUUUACAAGUUGAGUAUCCACUGGGAUCAUCAAAACCAUUGUGAACAGAACAGCUGAGGGCUCACUUGGACCACAAGUAGGAGGCAGAGAGAGAAUCAAUUGGAAUGGCCUGGGCUUUGAUACCUGUAAACCCAGCCCCAGGGACACUGCUCUUCCCCAGACUAUACUGCCUAAUUCUUCCUAAACUGUUGUCCCAACUAGGAAUUGUAUUGAAGCACAUGACCCUAGGGGUACCAACCUAAUUCAAUCUCCUACAUAGGUGCUGAUCUUUGUCACUAGGAAGAAAAAGGCUCUGAAGGCAACAGUCAAGACAGGCACUGUGCUGAGGUAGUGAGCGGGACACUCUCCACCUCUCCAGGUCCUGUUCUCAUGGAUCAUUCAUGAGGGAAUUAUAAGUGGAAAAAAAAAAAAGGAAAACACCGUGUGGAUAUGUUUGUGCUUUGGAUUGGGGUUUGGUCCCUAUAGUCCAGGGAGAUGUGUUUUUUUCCCCCUGUAAAACGAAAUGACUCUUAUGUACCUAUCUUGGCUCAAUUUCACCUCCAUAUGUUGGGAUUUUUCCUGUAUAUCUCAUCAGAGGUCAAGGAAAAUUCUCAACCUCAAUUAAUGGCCAAUCUCUUCAGAAAGAAGAACCUAGGCAUUCAGUACAUGCUGCUUUCCUGCAUAGCUGUGAAGGCUUGACUCUGUAAAUUAUCCUACCAUGGCUUUGCAGGGACCUGAAAAGCAUAUAGUGUCGAGGAAGGCACAGAGAAGCAUCUUACUACAUUGUUUUGAUAUUGAUGUUCUCCAGCAUCUGAAUCCGAUUUUCAAGGGUCAUGUUAAAGAAAAGUAACUGAAUAUUAAUCCUGGCAGAAGAACCUUGCUAACUGUGUGAGGAAAGGGAACAGAAACUAUCUGAAGAGACCGCAGUGGCAUUCAAUACUACCCCCAACCCCCAAACAAAGCCCAAACCAGCUGCUUAUGCAGACAGCAGUAUCAAGUGUUUGACUUUGUUCUUCCCAAAGGCUAGAGCUGUACCUUGUGAACCUGAACCCUUCCGGGCCCCAGACCUUGUCCUGAGGGAGUCAUGCAAUGGUAAUGUUGAGUGCAGUCUGGGCAGGAAGCUCUCUGGGAUAAGAGAGCAGCGCACCUCCUCUGCAUAGGAAACACACAGGGUGAGCUGCAGGACAACAUCCUAACAGGAACCCACAAAGUUCCAUGUCCCUUACCUUGCCAGAUAAACCCCCUCAUGUACCAACUUUUGACCAGUUGCCCCAGAGAGGCCUCUGCUAGAAGAUAUUGAGAAACCAAAGAUGAGUGAGGAAAAGUCACAGACUAUUCCAAGUGAGAACUAUCCAGGCCACAUCACCUCAGCCUCCCAUGUGCUGUGACUUCUAUGACAUACAUGUCAUAUGUGCAGAAGUGACAGUAUGAGAAAAUAAUGAAGACAUACUUAAUACUACUGGAUCAUGCCAUAAAUGUGGGCUUGGCUGAAGGCCUUCACAAAGACUUGGUCCAUGGCCAUAUAUUUUUCUAUCCUCAAAAUUUCUUGUCCUUCAAUUUUUCCCAAUAAUUUAAGAAGCACUGAUUCUGUUCAUGCCUGCUCAGGCCGCUGUGUUUAGAACCACACCUAUCUGAAGAAAUGUCAUGGGGAAAACUGUCUCCAUGCUUAACAUUUUCUUCUGCUGUCUCAUGAAUUGGAGCCCCAGAUACAGUGAGGCCUCCCAGUGUCACUCUGUGGCUGUCCUUUAUGCGAACUGCAGCAAAGUUCAGGAGCAGAUCCCUUGCCAUUUUGGUAAUAAGGUGCUUGCAAUCUGUUUGCAAACUGCAGAGGAUAGAAUGAAGGCAGGACUCUCAGGGUUGUUUUACCUCUUGCAGUUCAAAAGAGUUCCAUCUUGAUUCUUCCAAAGAUUGAAAUGGCAAACCGUUUCACACCUAGGAAUUGUGUUUAGAGACAGGCCUCCUGUCUGUAGCUUGUGAGUUUAGCAUGCACUGAAGUGCUGAUAGAAUGAAGCCCCCGUCAUAUGAAAACCAAGAGAAGGACAGCCUCUGUAGUCCAGAGAGGGAUGUCCCUGGGCAUCGGCUCAUGUGUCACCUGAUGAGUACUAAUUGCAAAUGCAUUUUCCUCUGGUCCCUGGAGAAAACAUGACGGAAAAAGAUGCCUGAACAAAGCCCACCCACACUCAGAAGCAGUCCUAUAGAGAUUAAAAAGUGCUUCAGUCUACAAAACUAGCCUACCACAGACAAAGUGAUUUCUAUUGUGGACAUAAGUCAGACUCUGGAGAGGGAAAAGUACAGAUUCUCUAUGAAAUGCCAAUAUUCCCAGGCUUACAUCCUAGGCAUAUCACUCGUCACAACUGAUUAAGAUAGCAUUUCAAAUUACAUCCAUUUCAUGCUGGAGUAUGAAGCAGUCUACUGGACGCAGUGGACAAUAUCAUGAAACAGAGAUUUGUCUGGAAACAAUGUGUAGUCUUUAAAAAAGAAUUGGGAAGAUGCAAUGGGAGGAAUAAUUGAUUCAGGAGAUCAAAGGGGGCAGCAGGCUGCUGAACGAGGAGACACAGAAAUCUCAUUUGUUGUUUGACCUCUACCCAGACACUGAUUUGAACCUGCACUCCUUAGAAUGUACAUUACUCUUCAAAAAUGCUUGCUUUUCCUCCUGUGGAAUUCGUAGGGCAAUGUCAGUGAACUCGUUAUGGUGGACUAUUAACAUAAAAGUCAGAGAAUGUCUCUGAGUAUCUGUAUUUAUACUCAAACCCAGAAGUUGAAGUGACCAGCUCAGUCCUAAACACUCACUGACUCUAAGUAAUUCCUCCCUCUCUCUUCUCCUGCAACUGCUAGGAGAAAGCAUUUCAGGGCAGGCUUCCUCCCUUUACUUUCAGUGUAACCCUGUACUUCUUCCUGAGUGUCCCUAUGUCAUCCUCUAUGAGGGCUAAACCUGGACCCAUGUAUAAGGAUUCUCAGGGACUAAUAUCACUACUCUUGGGCACACCCUGAGUAUAGUGGGAUCUUUGACCUUGGUAUCUUCCUAGGUGUCCACAAGGAGGCCCUGCUCUUCUGCCCAUGCAAUACAGCUUGAGUCUCCUCAUGUCUAGAGACAAUUGUCUAGAGAGGACAUCUGCAAGAAAAUCUUGUCUGCUUUCCUGAGGCCUGCCAGCUAUUCCAAGCUCUCAGGUUCUCAGUAAUAUGUGAAGACUCACUUAGCAAUUCUUCCAGGGUCUUUGUAUAGCGCAAUAGGACCUCAGUGGAUUUAAUGAAGUCUAUGGCUCACUUAAACAGGAUCAUCUGGAUUUUGGAGUUGAUUAGGAGAAACAAUGCACAACUGUAGAAUAGGGAUCCUAACAAAAGAAACAAACCCAUGACCACCCAAGUGCAGAAGAAGUAAAUAUACUGCAUGUCAGUUGGGUGCUCUGGGAGGCAGCAGUCUGCCAUCGUUUCUGUGACUGUCAUGACACACAGAAUUGAGGUCAAAGAACUAAAUCCAAAAGAAUCCUGCUAUUGUAGGCUGGAAGCACAAAAUGUGUUAUUUGGAAAACUGGUUCAUGGGUAGGGGACACUAGGGACAUUGUAGGCACAUUUUACUUCAGUGAAGAGGGAAGGACAAAGGUGUGAGAGAAACAGGAAGAGAAUGACUAACUGACUGAAUGAAUGAAUAAAUGAAUGAAUGAAUUUUUGCUGUGGGACAUAUGAUGAACUGGAGGUCUGACCCUAAGUCAGUGCUCUCUCAUUCCUUCAGUGGCAUUGCCAUAUCCCUUUAUAGAAAGUACUUUUGGAAAGUUAUAGAAGUCCCAGAGGAUGUUUAAAGUCUUUCUCUCUCUCUUCUUCCAAAUGGGAAGCAUCCUGCCUUGAUGAUUAAUUGUUCUCCUGACGGAGAAACCUAUCAUGGAACUCAUGAUGAGAAACCUAUUUCUCUUUAGAUGUAACAGAUCCUCACCACAUUCUUUGGAAGCAAAAG